GACAGAGGCCUCAAGCGUUAGGCGGAAUCACUGGGCUUAAAGCGUGUGUAGGCGGAUCGUUAAGUGUCUUGUGAAAUCCCACGGCUCACCCGUGGAACGGCUGGGCAUACUGGCGAUCUUGGGCCAACUAGGGGCAACUGGAACAAGCGGUGGAGCGGUGAAAUGCGUAGAUAUCUGGAGGAACACCGGUGGCGAAGGCGGCAUCCUGGACCGAGAUUGACGCUGAGGCGCGAAAGCCAGGGGAGCAAACGGG
rnacentral:rRNA from 1 species